UGACUCUCGACAACGGAUAUCUUGGCUCUUGCAUCGAUGAAGAACGUAGCGAAAUGCGAUACUUGGUGUGAAUUGCAGAAUCCCGUGAACCAUCGAGUCUUUGAACGCAAGUUGCGCCUGAAACCAUUAGGUUGAAGGCACGUCUGCCUGGGCGUCAUG
rnacentral:rRNA from 1 species